rnacentral:rRNA from 1 species
UAUGAAUGAAUUUUCUAGUGUAUUUUUUUUAUUUUUUCUUAAUUUAUAUAUUUGUUGAAAAUAACAAUUUUUUUUCUAAGACUAAAAGACCCUAAAAUUUUAAUAAUUAUUUAUUAUUUAGUUGGGGAAAUAUUUUAUUUUAAAUUUUUUUAUAUUUUUUUAUUCUUGAACUUUUUUUUUGAUAGGUUGUUAAAAUACUCUAGGG